rnacentral:rRNA from 1 species
CCUACGGGAGGCAGCAGUGGGGAAUAUUGCACAAUGGGCGAAAGCCUGAUGCAGCAACGCCGCGUGAGUGAAGAAGGACUUCGGUAUGUAAAGCUCUAUCAGCAGGGAAGAAGGGGACGUUACCUGAUUAAGAAGGCCCGGCUAAUUACGUGCCAGCAGCCGCGGUAAUACGGAGGGGGCACGCGUUAUCCGGAUUUACUGGGUGUAAAGCGAGCGCAGACGGCAGGGCAAGUCUGGAGUGAAAGCCCCGGGCCCAACCCCGGAACUGCACUGGAAACUGGGCGGCUAGAGUACUGGAGGGGCAGGCGGAAUUCCUAGGGUAGCGGUGAAAUGCGUAGAUAUUAGGAGGAACACCAGUGGCGAAGGCGGCCUGCUGGACAGUAACUGACGCUGAGGCUCGAAAGCGUGGGGAGCAAACAGGAUUAGAUACCCGAGUAGUC